rnacentral:lncRNA from 1 species
ACGAAUAUCGAUUACUCACAAAUAAAACAAAUUUGCUGAGGCGGCUCGACUAAGACGUACGGGCAGCAUAAUUAAGUCCUCAUAACUCUCAAGUGCAGGCAUCAAAAAAUCAAAACUGAGAAUGACUGGUGAUAUAUAUAUAUAUAUAUAUAUAUAGACACCUCAAUCAAUUAAGAAAGAAGCAAAUUAUAAUCAUGGCUUCUAUAGCUGAUCAGGAAGAAGAGACAAAUAAUUUCUCACAUGCAAUGGGACUUGCAAGUGCAAUAGUGCUACCUGCAGUUAUGCAAGCAGUGGUAGAGCUUGAUGUGUUUGAGAUCAUAAGCAAAGCCGGUCCUGGUGCUAAGCUUUCGGUUGCGGAGAUUGUGGCUCAAAUUCCCUUAAAAGAUAAUAAUCCUGAAGCUGCAGCCACGACGUUGGAUCGGGUGCUGAGGCUGCUUGUCAGCUACAACGCUCUUCAUUGCUCUUUUGUCGAUGGACAAAGGCUCUACUCUCUUGCUCCUGUUUCUAAACACUUUGUUCGCAACAAUCGAGACGGCGUGUCGUUGCGUCCCUACAUGGCCUUGUGUCUCGACAAGAUCUGCUUGGAUGGCUGGUACAUAGAACUGCUUCUUUUCUUUACCGUUUCAGUAAAUCGAUCAUUUUCAUUCUCAUGAUUUAAAAUCGAUUAAACUCUGUUAAAAAGAUAUUUAAUUUUCAGUUAGUUUACCAUUAAUGUUAUAAAUGACACAAAAAGUAGAAAGUUAAUGAUUUCUUUUUUUUUUUAAUGACGGAGGAUUCUCAAAUAUGAAAACAAAAAUGAUUGAUUUUAACGAACAACAACGUUUUUUUUUUCGUUUCUCGACAAAAAUUAGUUUUUCGAAUUUCAAGGUUAAUUGUGUGGUCUAAUUUUUGAAUCACCAGCACCAAACCAAGCUUCUGAAAUAGUUACUAACUGUGUUUGGAUUUUGAUAAAUUCAGGUUUGGAUUGAAAAAGCAAAUUCUUGAAGGAGGAAUUGCGUUUAAUAAAGCGCACGGAAUGCAAAUCUAUGAUUACUUAGGCGUCGACUCAAGGUUCAAUGAUGUUUUCAACAAUGGAAUGUUAAGCCACACUUCUAUUGUCAUGGAGAAGGUCCUAGAAUCAUACAAAGGCUUUGAGCAUGUUAAAAAGCUUGUGGAUGUUGGCGGUGGCUUGGGGAUCACUCUUAAUAUGAUAAUUUCAAAAUAUCCUCAUAUUAAGGGUAUUAAUUAUGACUUACCUUAUGUCAUUAAAGAUGCCCCAUCUUAUUCAGGUACUUUAUUUAUAAAAUUUGUAUAGUAUUUUUGUUAAUGAUUCAUCGAUGUUACACUAGCUAACAAAAGUUAGUUUAUUUAAAUUUCAGGGAUAAAACAUAUAGGUGGAGAUUUGUUCAAAAGUAUUCCUGAGGCAGAUACUAUUUUUAUGAAGGUUUAUAUUUUUUUAUAUCACUUGAAAUCAUCAUAAGGAAAAAUUAAAUAGAGAGAAUGACACUUUUCUCCCUAUUGUUUUUGAGUUAAGAUGUAUCCUAACCCUGUUGCUCACUUGGUAUUAGAACUUUGAUAGAAAAAUUCAAAGGGAUAAUAGGAUAUUAUGAAAACUAUUAAAAGAAAAAAAAUGGUGAAACUCAAAACUAUAUAUACAAGGAAAGUGUCAACAACUCUCUUUUUUUCUUCAAUGGUAAAAUGGGUGGGCAAAGCCCAAAUUAACUAAUUAUUGAUCCCAUAUCUCCCUUGAGUUCAAACUUGGGUGACAGUUAAAUAAAAUUGAUUGAAAACAAUUCGAUCAGGCACCUCGGGUGGAAAAUAUCAAUCUCUCUUCUUUAUGAAUGCUUUGUUCAAUCACAUAAAUUGAUCAUAGAUAUCCGGAUAGAACAAAUGAGAAUUAAUAUGAAUACAUGGAACUUUUGCAGUGGAUGCUUCAUAGUUUUGAUGAUGAACAAGCCUUGAAAGUGUUGAAGAAUUGUUAUAAAGCUCUUCCAUAUGGUGGGAAGCUGCUUAAUAUUAAUUCGACAAUUUCGGAAAUGCCUGGGAAUAAUGUAGCUUCAAGGGAAAUCUCUAUUUUGGAUACGGUUUUGUUAGUCCAACUUCCUCAUGGAAGAGAGCGGACCAAACAAGAGUACACUGAAUUGGCAGUCAAAGCUGGAUUUAAAGGUGUCAACUAUGAUUAUGGUGCGUGCAAUUUAUAUGUUAUGGAAUUCUUCAAAUAAAUUGCAUACUUAAUUUCAUUUUGGAAAGAUCUUCUCAACCCUUGGGGAGUUUCCAAUUUCCUAUUUGUGUUAAUUAUUUUCUCUUUUGCUUGGCCUUGGGGCUUGUCUUAUGUACUUUCUUUCAUCUUAUGAAAAUAAUACGUCUCUUAGAAAGAGAUUGAUGGCUGUAUUUGGUACUUCUUAUGUAAUCUUUUUCAGUUCAUACAUUCAGCAUGUGAUUUUUGGUUUAUUAUUGAGGCAAAAAAGAAGUAUUUUUAUCUUGCCUUACUAUUAUUAUUAUUUUUUUGUUCAUUUCAAAGUUGAAAAAAUCAGUAAUGUAUAACUUUUUUAUCAUUUAAAGUAAGAACAUUUGACUUUUGAAAGAGUAGUUAUAGAGAACUCAUUCUAUGCCAUCUCAACCUCACACAAGAGUAAUUAAAACUAGAGCUAAUGUUAAAGUAGUUCUAAAUUUUGAAUUCAUUACAAACUUAUCCUAAAAAUUUGCCUUAGUGGAGUUUAUGUGUGGUACUGGUGUUUAUUUCAUUUUUAUUUCUAAAAACAUAGUAAAUUAAGUGCACCACUAAGUGAACCAGAUGAAGACUGAAAAUUAUUGAAAAAUGGAUUGUGGAGAUUUGGUUUUUCAUCAAACAACUACUAAGAGCUAAUAUUGCUCGAUGGAAAAAGAAAAAAAAUCUGAAUAUUAUGAUUAUCUUUGAAAGGUACAUAGUGAAUAGAGAAAAAAAAAAGAAAAAAAUUUGAGUUCCUUUAUUGGACGAGUAUUUUGAUUAGGAGAAAUUUUAUAAUGUUGUAAUUAAAAUGAUGGUAUCAAUGCCGUGAUAAAUAUGAAUUUUGUAAAUUACGCAUAAGACUGGUAAAUGAAAAGUAAAAUAAGUAAAUUAAUAUAAGAGUGGUAAAUUGGCGUCUUAAAACUACAAACUAAACAAAUAUUUAUAAAAAUAACAUAAAACUUGUAAAUCAACAUUAAACUUUAAUUAAAAAAAUAAUUUAUUCAUUUAAUUUACAUAAAUGAUGAAAAAAUCACUCAUCAAUUGAAAAAAUAUAUAUUUAAAACAAUUGCAAUAAGUUUUAUUGUAUUGGUUUAACUAUAUAUUCUAUAUUCAUUCUUCGACAUAAAAAAAAAUGAAUCUUUUAAAAAAAAAUGAAUCUUUUUCUAUCUAUAGUAUUUGAUACUACACAUGUUAAUUAAGCAAAAAUUUUUUUUUUUUUACGUGAAUCAAGCAAAAAAAAAAAAGAUUUUCUUAUAUUACUAGAUGUACAUGAUAUAUCAAUAAAAUUGGAUCUAAUUUUUAGUGCUAUAUAUACUUCAUGUAAUUUUAAACUAUGUUUCUUAUUGUACUUAAAGAUUAUUUGGGUUUACGGUCAAGGAGGCUUAAAAGGAUAUAACAUCACCUUAUUUUACAAGCAGUGAGGUUUGAAAGUCUAACUUUCAGGAUAUGUUUAUCAUUCUUAUAUUACUAGAUGUACAUGACAUAUCAAUAAAAUUGGAUCUAAUUUUUAGUGUUAUACAUAUUUCAUGUAAUUUUAAACUAUGUUUCUUAUUGUACUUAAAGAUCAUUUGGGUUUACGGUCAAGGAAGCUUAAAAGCAUACAACAUCACCUUAUGUUACAAGCAGUGAGGUUUGAAAGUCUAACUUUCAGGAUAGAUUUAUCAUUAAUAAAAUUUCACAUAUGUCAUCACAUAUAUUAUACAACCUCAUAAUGUGACAAUUAGCUUAUAUAUUUACUAAUUUUGAUUCUAAAUUGAGUUUAGAAUCAAAAUUAUGAGCUAAUAGUCACAUUAUGAGUUUUUAUUUUAUAUUUGUAAGUUUUUAUUUUUUUAAUAACUCUUAUAUUAAGGUACUUGUUUUACCUUCUAUUUACAAGUAUUACAUUCUAUUUAUAUCAUUUAUAUUUUAUUUUAUGAUUAAUGUGGAUUUACCACUUCUAUGUUACAUGUAUAAGUUUUAUUUUAUUUAUCAAUAAUAUAAUGAUUUAUCACUUUUAGGUUAAUUUAUUUGUUUUACCUUCUAUUUACAAGUUUUAUGUCCCAUUUACUUUUUUAUGUUUUAUUUACACUUUAAUGUUAAUUUACAAGUUUUAUACUAUAUGAAUAAGUUUUUGUUUUAUUUACUAAUGAUACACCAAUUAACUACUCCUAUAUUAGUUUACUUAUUUUACCUUCUAUUUACAAAUCUUGUAUUCUAUUUAACACAAAUGUUGGCAUGAGAUUCCUGACAUAUUUCUAAAAUCAAAAUAAGAUGCAUAGAGGACAAUAAUUUUAUUUCAUAAUUAAAAUUUUUGUAAAGAAAGUUUGAAUAUGAGAGGGGUGAGAGAUGAGAAUAUUGACGAUGGUGUGUACUUUGGAUGGAAAAAUAGAUUGAAAAUAUAUAUAGACAUAUUAAAAGAAAAAAAUAUGAUCUAUACCUCAAGAGAAAUAAGAAAUUAUAAAUGCAGGUGGUCAAAUGUAUUUAUAAUUUAUAAUUUUUUAUAAAUAUGAUAAUCAUUAGACCAAUAUAAAAGUCUAGCAAAAAGUUUAAAUUUUUUUAAUAAAUGUAGAAGAGAUGGACGAAGAAACCAGCCAACAGUUCAGAAUUAACAAUUAAAGAUAUGAGGACUUGAUCGAAGAAAUGUGAAAAAUAAAAGGACACUGGGUUGGUUAGCGGGACCCUAAUUUAAUGGUAAAAAAUAAAAGGACACUGGGUUGCUAUCAAUUUCUACGGUGUGGUACGUUCAUAGCCGGGGAAGUAAUUGUAUUAGCGGGACCCUAACAUUAAUAAAAGGACACUGGGUUGUUUAGCGGGACCCUAAUAUUAAUGGUAAAAAAUAAAAGGAAACUGAGUUGGUAUCAAUUUCUACGGUGUAGGUUCAUAGCCGGGGAAGUAAUUAUAUUAGCGGGACCCUAAUAUUAAUGGAGACCUAAUAUUAAUGAUAAAAAAUAAAAGGACACUGGGUUACAAUCAAUUUCUACAGAGUGGGUUCAUAGCCGGAGAAGUAAUUGGGCACAAAUAUCAUGGUGAACACGGAUGAGAAAUAACCAUUUUAUCCCCGCAACUUUAUGUUUAUGGCCUCUAAAAAUUUUCACCUCUUUCACUUCUGGAACCCGCGCUUUCUGGCACAUGCACAAUACUUGGUUGCGACUUAUAGAGAGUUUUAGAAUUGCAACGACAUGGUGCUCUUUGAUAAUUCAAAAAUCCAAUAGAAUUUAUAGAGAAUUACAGAAUUGUGGUACGUGAUAAUUUGCUGAUGCAGUGAGGGGCCGAAAUUCUUGUACAUGUGAUUAAGUUAUAGAUGUAUAAUUAAGUAAUUAGCAAGCACUAAUUGGGGGUAUUUGUGUCCAUGAAAAUUUACAGUUGGUUGUUGACAUUAUACUGUGGGUGCGUAAGUGCAAUCACGAUCUGACCAUUCAAAUUAAAAAAUGGGGGUCCCACUAAUUAUAAAGUUUGUAAUUAUCACAUAUACAGAUAUGGUCGCAUAUGAAAAUCUUAUCAUAAAUUGAAUGGAUUCGAUGACUUAAUUGAAGUUAUGAACGGAUAUUUAAAUAAAAGAAAAUUUAUAAUAAAGAAAAGUAUUAAUUUGUUGUGAAUGUAACUUAUAUAAGCUGUAAGUUAGCGGGACUCUUCAAAUAAUUCUAAUAUUUUGAUUUUUAAUUCUUAUAUUUAAAAAAAUAUCUUUUGUAGUUAAAUAUAUUUUUUUUUUAUCCUUACUUUUACUUUACUUUUAUAAUAAUAGCCUUCUAAUUUUUUUUAACAUUAAUUAAGUUAUUUAUAAAAUUUUAAUUAUAAAAUUUACUAAUAAUUAUUUAUUAAUAAAUUAACUAAUAAAUAUCAGUAUGAAAGAACUAAUAUUUUUUUAACCCAUGCAAUAAUCUUGCAAAUAAUUUUUUUAUAAAUAAAAAUUAAUAUCAACUAACUUAAAGUGGUGUUUAAUAUCCUUACAAUAAUUAUAUUAAUAUUAAUUUAUAAAAAAUUAAUUUACUAAAUUAAUCUUAAAACUAAAUUAAUAACAUAAAAAUUUAUAAAACUAAUUAUUUUACUUUUCAUCGGCUGCAAUUUGUUGAAACUUGGGUGAAGACAAAUUGAGAUCUUAGAAAUCUCCAAUGAGAUAAUAAAAUAUAAUAUAUAUGUUAGGUCUUUGUUUUUUUUUUUUUUUUUUGGUUUAAACCACCCGAUUUCCGACGACCGCAUUGGGCCCCGACUAAUUCGGAUUCGGGGUGUAGUCACAGUUAAGGCUCUUUACCCCUCCCAAAUGGUGUGUUUAGUAGGGAUCAAACCCGAGAGCUCUUUCCACUUACCCAACCUGCGUCGCCAACUGAACCACAACCGUUUGAUUAGGUCUUUGUUCUUUAGAGAAUAGAUCCUAUUGAAAUUUGAACACGAAUAUCGAUUACUCACAAAUAAAAUAAAUUUGCUGAGGCGGCUCGACUAAGACGUACGGGCAGCAUAAUUAAGUCCUCAUAACUCUCAAGUGCAGGCAUCAAAAAAUCAAAACUGAGAAUGACUGGUGAUAUAUAUAUAUAUAUAUAUAGACACCUCAAGCAAUUAAGAAAGAAGCAAAUUAUAAUCAUGGCUUCUAUAGCUGAUCAGGAAGAAGAGACAAAUAAUUUCUCACAUGCAAUGGGACUUGCAAGUGCAAUAGUGCUACCUGCAGUUAUGCAAGCAGUGGUAGAGCUUGAUGUGUUUGAGAUCAUAAGCAAAGCCGGUCCUGGUGCUAAGCUUUCGGUUGCGGAGAUUGUGGCUCAAAUUCCCUUAAAAGAUAAUAAUCCUGAAGCUGCAGCCACGACGUUGGAUCGGGUGCUGAGGCUGCUUGUCAGCUACAACGCUCUUCAUUGCUCUUUUGUCGAUGGACAAAGGCUCUACUCUCUUGCUCCUGUUUCUAAACACUUUGUUCGCAACAAUCGAGACGGCGUGUCGUUGCGUCCCUACAUGGCCUUGUGUCUCGACAAGAUCUGCUUGGAUGGCUGGUACAUAGAACUGCUUCUUUUCUUUACCGUUUCAGUAAAUCGAUCAUUUUCAUUCUCAUGAUUUAAAAUCGAUUAAACUCUGUUAAAAAGAUAUUUAAUUUUCAGUUAAUUUACCUUUAAUGUUAUAAAUGACACAAAAAGUUGAAAGUUAAUAAUUUCUUUUUUUUUUAAUGACGGAGGAUUCUCAAAUAUGAAAACAAAAAUGAUUGAUUUUAACGAACAACAACGUUUUUUUUUUUUUUUUUUAUCGUUUCUCGACAAAAAUUAGUUUUUCGAAUUUCAAGGUUAAUUGUGUGGUCUAAUUUUUGAAUCACCAGCACCAAACCAAGCUUCUGAAAUAGUUACCAACUGUGUUUGGAUUUUGAAAAAUUCAGGUUUGGAUUGAAAAAGCAAAUUCUUGAAGGAGGAAUUGCGUUUAAUAAAGCGCACGGAAUGCAAAUCUAUGAUUACUUAGGCGUCGACUCAAGGUUCAAUGAUGUUUUCAACAAUGGAAUGUUAAGUCACACUUCUAUUGUCAUGGAGAAGGUCCUAGAAUCAUACAAAGGCUUUGAGCAUGUUAAAAAGCUUGUGGAUGUUGGCGGUGGCUUGGGGAUCACUCUUAAUAUGAUAAUUUCGAAAUACCCUCAUAUUAAGGGUAUUAAUUAUGACUUACCUUAUGUUAUUAAAGAUGCCCCAUCUUAUUCAGGUACUUUAUUUAUAAAAUCUGUAUAACAUAUUUGUUAAUGAUUCAUCGAUGCUACACUAGCUAACAAAAGUUAGUUUAUUUAAAUUUCAGGGAUAGAACAUAUCGGUGGAGAUUUGUUCGAAAGUAUUCCUGAGGCAGAUACUAUUUUUAUGAAGGUUUAUAUUUUCUUAUAUCACUUGAAAUCAUCAUAAGGAAAAAUUAAAUAGAGAGAAUGACAUUUUUCUCCCUAUUGUUUUUGAGUUAACACGUACCCUAACCAUGUUACUCACUUGGUAUUAGAACUUUGAUAGAAAAAUUCAAAGGGAUAAUAAGAUAUUAUGAAAACUAUUAAAAGAAAAAAAAAGGUAAAACUCAAAACUAUAUAUACAAGGAAAGUGUCAACAACUCUCUUUUUUUCUUCAAUGGUAAAAUGGGUGGGCAUAGCCCAAAUUAACUAAUUAUUGAUCCCAUAUCUCCCUUGAGUUCAAACUUGGGUGACAAUUAAAUAAAAUUGAUUGAAAACAAUUCGAUCAGGCACCUCGGGUGGAAAGUAUCAAUCUCUCUUCUUUAUGAAUGCUUUGUUCAAUCACAUAAAUUGAUCAUAGAUAUCCGGAAAAGAACAAAUGAGAAUUAAUAUGAAUACAUGGAACUUUUGCAGUGGAUGCUUCAUAGUUUUGAUGAUGAACAAGCCUUGAAAGUGUUGAAGAAUUGUUAUAAAGCUCUUCCAGAUGGUGGGAAGCUGCUUAAUAUUAAUUCGACAAUUUCGGAAAUGCCUGGGAAUAAUGUAGCUUCAAGGGAAAUCUCUAUUUUGGAUACGGUUUUGUUAGUCCAACUUCCUCAUGGAAGAGAGCGGACCAAACACGAGUACACUGAAUUGGCAGUCAAAGCUGGAUUUAAAGGUGUCAACUAUGAUUAUGGUGCGUGCAAUUUAUAUGUUAUGGAAUUCUUCAAAUAAAUUGCAUACUUAAUUUCAUUUUGGAAAGAUCUUCUCAACCCUUGGGGAGUUUCCAAUUUCCUAUUUGUGUUAAUUAUUUUCUCUUUUGCUUGGCCUUGGGGCUUGUCUUAUGUACUUUCUUUCAUCUUAUGAAAAUAAUACGUCUCUUAGAAAGAGAUUGAUGGCUGUAUGUGGUACUCCUUAUGUAAUCUUUUUCAGUUCAUACGUUCAGCAUGUGAUUUUUGGUUUAUUAUUGAGGCAAAAAAGAAGUAUUUUUAUCUUACCUUACUAUUAUUAUUAUUAUUUUUUGUUCAUUUCAAAGUUGAAAAAAUCAGUAAUGUAUAACUUUUUUAUCAUUUAAAGUAAGAACAUUUGACUUUUGAAAGAGUAGUUAUAGAGAACUCAUUAUAUGCCAUCUCAACCUCACACAAGAGUAAUUAAAACUAGAGCUAAUGUUAAAGUAGUUCUAAAUUUUGAAUUCAUUACAAACUUAUCCUAAAAAUUUGCCUUAGUGGAGUUUAUGUGUGGUACUGGUGUUUAUUUCAUUUUUAUUUCUAAAAAUAUAGUAAAUUAAGUGCACCACUAAGUGAACCAGAUGAAGACUGAAAAUUAUUAAAAAUGGAUUGUGGAGAUUUGGUUUUUCAUCAAACAACUACUAAGAGCUAAUAUUGCUCGAUGGAAAAAGAAAAAAGAAAACAAAUCUGAAUAUUAUGAUUAUCUUUGAAAGGUGCAUAGUGAAUAGAGAAAAAAAAAAAGAAAAAAUUUUGAGUUCCUUUAUUGGACGAGUAUUUUGAUUAGGAGAAAUUUUAUAAUGUUGUAAUUAAAAUGAUGGUAUUAAUGCCGUGAUAAAUAUGAAUUUUGUAAAUUACGCAUAAGACUAGUAAAUGAAAAGUAAAAUAAGUAAAUUAAUAUAAGAAUGGUAAAUUGGCGUCUUAAAACUACAAACUAAACAAAUGCUUAUAAAAAUAACAUAAAACUUGUAAAUCAACAUUAAACUUUAAUUAAAAAAAUAAUUUAUUCAUUUAAUUUACAUAAAUGAUGAAAAAAUCACUCAUCAAUUGAAAAAAAAAAACUAUUUAAAACAAUUGUAAUAAGUUUUUAUUGUAUUGGUUUAACUAUAUGUUCUAUAUUCAUUCUUGCACAUUAAAAAAACGAAUCUUUAAAAAAAAAUGAAUCUUUUUCUAUCUAUAGUAUUUGAUACUACACAUGUUAAUUAAGCAAAAAUUAUUUUUUUUUGACGUGAAUCAAGCAAAAAAAAAAAAAGAUUUUCUUAUAUGACUAGAUGUACAUGAUAUAUCAAUAAAAUUGGAUCUAAUUUUUAGUGUUAUAUAUACUUCAUGUAAUUUUAAACUAUGUUUCUUAUUGUACUUAAAGAUCAUUUGGGUUUACGGUCAAGGAGGCUUAAAAGGAUACAACAUCACCUUAUUUUACAAACAGUGAGGUUUGAAAGUCUAACUUUCAGGAUAUGUUUAUCAUUCUUAUAUUACUAGAUGUACAUGACAUAUCAAUAAAAUUGGAUCUAAUUUUUAGUGUUAUAUAUAUUUCAUGUAAUUUUAAACUAUGUUUCUUAUUGUACUUAAAGAUCAUUUGGGUUUACGGUCAAGGAGGCUUAAAAGCAUACAACAUCACCUUAUUUUACAAGCAGUGAGGUUUGAAUGUCUAACUUUCAGGAUAGGUUUAUCAUUAAUAAAAUUUCACAUAUGUCAUCACAUAUAUUAUACAACCUCAUAAUGUGACAAUUAGCUUAUAUAUUUACUAAUUUUGAUUCUAAAUUGAGUUUAGAAUCAAAAUUAUGAGCUAAUAGUCACAUUAUGAGUUUUUAUUUUAUAUUUGUAAGUUUUUAUUUUUACAUUAAGGUACUUGUUUUACCUUCUAUUUACAAGUAUUACAUUCUAUUUACAUCAUUUAUAUUUUAUUUUAUGAUUAAUGUUGAUUUACCACUUCUAUGUUACAUGUAUAAGUUUUUAUUUUGUUUAUCAAUAAUAUAAUGAUUUAUGACUUUUAUGUUAAUUUAUUUGUUUUACCUUCUAUUUACAAGUUUUAUGUCCCAUUUACUUUUAUUUACACUUUAAUGUUAAUUUACAAAUUUUAUAUUAUAUGUAUAAGUUUUUGUUUUAUUUACUAAUGAUACACCAAUUAACUACUCCUAUAUUAAUUUACUUAUUUUACCUUCUAUUUACAAAUCUUGUAUUCUAUUUAACACAAAUGUUGGCAUGAGAUUCCUGACAUAUUUCUAAAAUCAAAAUAAGAUGCAUAGAGGAUGAUCAUUUUAUUUCAUAAUUAAAAUUUUUGUAAAGAAAGUUUGAAUAUGAGAGGGGUGAGAGAUGAGAAUAUUGACGAUAGUGCGUACUUUGGAUGGAAAAAUAGAUUGAAAAUAUAUAUAGACAUAUUAAAAGAAAAAAAUCUGAUCUAUACCUCAAGAGAAAUAAGAAAUUAUAAAUGCAGGUGGUCAAAUGUAUUUAUAAUUUAUAAUUUUUUAUAAAUAUGAUAAUCAUUAGACCCAUAUAAAAGUAUAGCAAAAUGUUUAAAUUUUUUUUAAUAAAUGUAGAAGAGAUGGACGAAGAAAACAGCCACCAGUUCAGAAUUAACAAUCAAAGAUAUGAGGACUUGAUCGAAGAAAUGUGAAAAAUAAAAGGACACUGGGUUGGUUAGCGGGACCCUAAUUUAAUGGUAAAAAAUAAAAGGACACUGGGUUGCUAUCAAUUUCUACGGUGUGGUAGGUUCAUAGCAGGGGAAGUAAUUAUAUUAGCGGGACCCUAACAUUAAUAAAAGGACACUGGGUUGUUUAGCGGGACCCUAAUAUUAAUGGUAAAAAAUAAAAGGAAACUGAGUUGGUAUCAAUUUCUACGGUGUAGGUUCAUAGCCGGGGAAGUAAUUAUAUUAGCGGGACCCUAAUAUUAAUGGAGACCUAAUAUUAAUGAUAAAAAAUAAAAGGACACUGGGUUACAAUCAAUUUCUACAGAGUGGGUUCAUAGCCGGAGAAGUAAUUGGGCACAAAUAUCAUGGUGAACACGGAUGAGAAAUAACCAUUUUAUCCCCGCAACUUUAUGUUUAUGGCCUCUAAAAAUUUUCACCUCUUUCACUUCUGGACCCGCGCUUUCUGGCACAUGCACGAUACUUGGUUGCGACUUAUAGAGAGUUUUAGAAUUGCAACGACAUGGUGCUCUUUGAUAAUUCAAAAAUCCAAUAGAAUUUAUAGAGAAUUACAGAAUUGUGGUACGUGAUAAUUUGCUGAUGCAGUGAGGGGCCGAAAUUCUUGUACAUGUGAUUAAGUUAGAGAUGUAUAAUUAAGUAAUUAGCAAGCACUAAUGGGGGGUAUUUGUGUCCAUGAAAAUUUACGGUUGGUUGUUGACAUUAUACUGUGGGUGCGUAAGUGUAAUCACGAUCUGACCAUUCAAAUUAAAAAAUGGGGGUCCCACUAACUAUAAAGUUAAUAAUUAUCACAUAAACAGGGGGAAUUUUAGGUGCAACUGUGACACCGUGCCACAGUUGCACCUAGUCAUUGGAUGUCAGUAGACUCUAUUACUCCAACUGCAUCCAACGGUUAGAUGCAAUUGUGGCACGGUGCCACAGUUACACCGUAGCCUGAUCCCAUAUACAGAUAUGGUCGCAUAUGAAAAUCUUAUCAUAAAUUGAAAGGAUUCGAUGACUUAAUUGAAGUUAUGAACGGAUAUUUAAAUAAAAGAAAAUUUAUAAUAAAGAACAAGUAUUAAUUUGUUAUGAAUGUAACUUAUAUAAGCUGUAAGUUAGCGGGACUCUUCAAGUAAUUCUAAUAUUUUGAUUUUUAAUUUUUAUAUUUUAAAAAAUAUCUUCUGUAGUUAAAUAUAUUUUAUUUUUAUCCUUACUUUUACUUUACUUUUACAAUAAUAGCCUUCUAAAAAUUUUUUAACAUUAAUUAAGUUAUUUAUAAAAUUUUAAUUAUAAAAUUAACUAAUAAUUAUUUAUUAAUAAAUUAACUAAUAAAUAUCAGUACGAAAGAACUAAUAUUUUUUUAACCCAUGCAAUAAUCUUGCAAAUAAUUUUUUUAUAAAUAAAAAUUAAUAUCAACUAACUUAAAGUGGUUUUUAAUAUCCUUACAAUAAUUAUAUUAAUAUUUAUUUAUAAAAAAUUAAUUUGCCAAAUUAAUCUUAAAACUAAAUUAAUAACAUAAAAAUUUAUAAAACUAAUUAUUUUACUUUUCAUCGGCUGCAAUUUGUUGAAACUUGGGUGAAGACAAAUUGAGAUCUUAGAAAUCUCCAAUGAGAUAAUAAAAUAUAAUACAUAUGUUAGGUCUUUGUUCUUUAGGGAAUAGAUCCUAUUGAAAUUUGAACACGAAUAUCGAUUACUCACAAAUAAAACAAAUUUGCUGAGGCGGCUCGACUAAGACGUACGGGCAGCAUAAUUAAGUCCUCAUAACUCUCAAGUGCAGGCAUCAAAAAAUCAAAACUGAGAAUGACUGGUGAUAUAUAUAUAUAUAUAUAUAUAUAUAUAGACACCUCAAGCAAUUAAGAAAGAAGCAAAUUAUAAUCAUGGCUUCUAUAGCUGAUCAGGAAGAAGAGACAAAUAAUUUCUCACAUGCAAUGGGACUUGCAAGUGCAAUAGUGCUACCUGCAGUUAUGCAAGCAGUGGUAGAGCUUGAUGUGUUUGAGAUCAUAAGCAAAGCCGGUCCUGGUGCUAAGCUUUCGGUUGCGGAGAUUGUGGCUCAAAUUCCCUUAAAAGAUAAUAAUCCUGAAGCUGCAGCCACGACGUUGGAUCGGGUGCUGAGGCUGCUUGUCAGCUACAACGCUCUUCAUUGCUCUUUUGUCGAUGGACAAAGGCUCUACUCUCUUGCUCCUGUUUCUAAACACUUUGUUCGCAACAAUCGAGACGGCGUGUCGUUGCGUCCCUACAUGGCCUUGUGUCUCGACAAGAUCUGCUUGGAUGGCUGGUACAUAGAACUGCUUCUUUUCUUUACCGUUUCAGUAAAUCGAUCAUUUUCAUUCUCAUGAUUUAAAAUCGAUUAAACUCUGUUAAAAAGAUAUUUAAUUUUCAUUUAAUUUACCAUUAAUGUUAUAAAUGACACAAAAAGUUGAAAGUUAAUAAUUUCUUUUUUUUUAAUGACGGAGGAUUCUCAAAUAUGAAAACAAAAAUGAUUGAUUUUAACGAACAACAACGUUUUUUUUUUUUUUUUUUUAUCGUUUCUCGACAAAAAUUAGUUUUUCGAAUUUCAAGGUUAAUUGUGUGGUCUAAUUCUUGAAU